GACCGCGUAGCUCAGUUGGCAGAGCGUUGGGUUGGUAUUCCAAAGGUCGUCGGUUCGAUUCUCACCGUGGCCA
rnacentral:tRNA from 1 species